UACGUAGGGGGCAAGCGUUAUCCGGGUUUACUGGGUGUAAAGGGCGUGUAGCCGGGCUGACAAGUCAGAUGUGAAAUCCGGGGGCUCAACCCCCGAACUGCAUUUGAAACUGUUGGUCUUGAGUAUCGGAGAGGCAGGCGGAAUUCCUAGUGUAGCGGUGAAAUGCGUAGAUAUUAGGAGGAACACCGGUGGCGAAAGCGGCUCUCUGGCCUGUAACUGACACUGAGGCUCGAAAGCGUGGGGAGCAAACAGG
rnacentral:rRNA from 1 species